rnacentral:rRNA from 1 species
AGUGGCGCACGGGUGAGUAACACGUGGAUGAUCUACCCAUCAGUUCGGAAUACCAGUUGGAAACGACUGUUAAUACCGGAUACGAUCUUUUAUCACAUCAAGGUGAAAGGGGGCCUCUGCAUAUGCUUCCGCUGAUGGAUGAGUCCGCGCCUCAUUAGGUAGUUGGUAGGGUAACGGCCUACCAAGCCGACGAUGAGUAGCCGGCCUGAGAGGGUAAUCGGCCACACUGGGACUGGAACACGGCCCAGACUCCUACGGGAGGCAGCAGUGGGGAAUAUUGCGCAAUGGGCGAAAGCCUGACGCAGCGACGCCGCGUGAGGGAUGAAGGCCUUCGGGUCGUAAACCUCUGUCAGGAGGGAAGAACGGCCAUCGUGCUAAUCAGCGAUGGAUUGACGGUACCUCCAAAGGAAGCACCGGCUAACUCCGUGCCAGCAGCCGCGGUAAUACGGAGGGUGCAAGCGUUAAUCGGAAUCACUGGGCGUAAAGCGCGCGUAGGCGGCUUUGUAAGUCAGGGGUGAAAUCCCACGGCUCACCGUGGAACUGCCUUUGAUACUGGUAGGCUUGAGUGUGUGAGAGGAUAGUGGAAUUCCUGGUGUAGGAGUGAAAUCCGUAGAGAUCAGGAGGAACAUCAGUGGCGAAGGCGACUAUCUGGCACAAUACUGACGCUGAGGUGCGAAAGCGUGGGUAUCAAACAGGAUUAGAUACCCUGGUAGUCCACGCUGUAAACGAUGGAUACUAGGUGCUGGGAGCUCGACUCUCGGUGCCGUAGCUAACGCGUUAAGUAUCCCGCCUGGGGAGUACGGUCGCAAGGCUGAAACUCAAAGAAAU